GACGAACGCUGGCGGCGUGCUUAACACAUGCAAGUCGAACGGAAAGGCCCUGCUUUUGUGGGGUGCUCGAGUGGCGAACGGGUGAGUAACACGUGAGUAACCUGCCCUUGACUUUGGGAUAGCUUCAGGAAACUGGGGCUAAUACCGGAUAGGAGCUCCUGCUGCAUGGUGGGGGUUGGAAAGUUUCGGCGGUUGGGGAUGGACUCGCGGCUUAUCAGCUUGUUGGUGGGGUAGUGGCUUACCAAGGCUUUGACGGGUAGCCGGCCUGAGAGGGUGGCCGGCCACAUUGGGACUGAGAUACGGCCCAGACUCCUACGGGAGGCAGCAGUGGGGAAUAUUGCACAGUGGGCGGAAGCCUGAUGCAGCAACGCCGCGUGCGGGAUGACGGCCUUCGGGUUGUAAACCGCUUUCGCCUGUGACGAAGCGUGAGUGACGGUAAUGGGUAAAGAAGCACCGGCUAACUACGUG
rnacentral:rRNA from 1 species